UUGAAAGGGAAACGAUUGAAGUUAAGUCAUGCCGGUGGGAAUCCAACUUAGGGGAAACUCUAGGUGCACUUCUUCGGCUUGGCAAGGUCCAACGUCGAUUUUGAAUGUCAUAAAAAUAAUUGGGGAGAAGGUAGGUUCUCUCGAGAGUGUUAUAGCCCUUGAUAGAUGUGAUGUUUGGGGUCGAGGAUUGCAACGGAUACCUCUGGGGCUAGCCGCCUGAUCUCUAAUCGGUGUUGGGUUACGGAUAGCAUGCUGACCGUGAUCUAAUUACUGGUUAAAAGGUUAGAGCGUGCAUAAAUCGUUAAGGAUGUUGACGUA
rnacentral:rRNA from 1 species